AGAGUUUGAUCAUGGCUCAGAUUGAACGCUGGCGGCAUGCCUUACACAUGCAAGUCGAACGGCAGCAUGAUCUAGCUUGCUAGAUUGAUGGCGAGUGGCGAACGGGUGAGUAAUACAUCGGAACGUGCCCUGUAGUGGGGGAUAACUAGUCGAAAGAUUAGCUAAUACCGCAUACGACCUGAGGGUGAAAGUGGGGGACCGCAAGGCCUCAUGCUAUAGGAGCGGCCGAUGUCUGAUUAGCUAGUUGGUGAGGUAAAGGCUCACCAAGGCGACGAUCAGUAGCUGGUCUGAGAGGACGAUCAGCCACACUGGGACUGAGACACGGCCCAGACUCCUACGGGAGGCAGCAGUGGGGAAUUUUGGACAAUGGGCGAAAGCCUGAUCCAGCAAUGGCCGCGUGUGUGAAGAAGGCCUUCGGGUUGUAAAGCACUUUUGUCCGGAAAGAAAUGGCUCUGGUUAAUACCUGGGGUCGAUGACGGUACCGGAAGAAUAAGGACCGGCUAACUACGUGCCAGCAGCCGCGGUAAUACGUAGGGUCCAAGCGUUAAUCGGAAUUACUGGGCGUAAAGCGUGCGCAGGCGGUUGUACAAGACCGAUGUGAAAUCCCCGAGCUUAACUUGGGAAUUGCAUUGGUGACUGCACGGCUAGAGUGUGUCAGAGGGGGGUAGAAUUCCACGUGUAGCAGUGAAAUGCGUAGAGAUGUGGAGGAAUACCGAUGGCGAAGGCAGCCCCCUGGGAUAACACUGACGCUCAUGCACGAAAGCGUGGGGAGCAAACAGGAUUAGAUACCCUGGUAGUCCACGCCCUAAACGAUGUCAACUAGUUGUUGGGGAUUCAUUUCCUUAGUAACGUAGCUAACGCGUGAAGUUGACCGCCUGGGGAGUACGGUCGCAAGAUUAAAAC
rnacentral:rRNA from 1 species